CUGCUUCCCUGUGUUGAUAGAGUGGCUUUCUGUGCUAGGUGUCCUAUAGGGCCCCAGUGGCUCAUCCUCCCCGUUACCUGGGGUGGACACUCUUGGUUCACUCCUUUGGUGCGUUGGUUGAUGU